rnacentral:rRNA from 1 species
UACGUAGGGCGCAAGCGUUGUCCGGAAUUAUUGGGCGUAAAGAGCUCGUAGGCGGCCUGUUGCGUCCGCUGUGAAAUCCCGGGGCUCAACCCCGGGCGUGCAGUGGAUACGGGCUGGCUGGAGGCAGGCAGGGGAGAACGGAAUUCCUGGUGUAGCGGUGAAAUGCGCAGAUAUCAGGAGGAACACCGGUGGCGAAGGCGGUUCUCUGGGCCUGUACUGACGCUGGAGGAGCGAAAGCGUGGGGAGCGAACAGGA